rnacentral:tRNA from 1 species
GGGGGCAGUGGCUCAGUGGUAGAUCAUUGGCUUGGCAUGAAGAUGGUCCCAGGUUCGAUUCCUGGCAUCCCCA